rnacentral:rRNA from 1 species
CAGCCGCCACGGUAAAACGUAGGUGGCAGGCGUUAUCCGGAAUUAUUGGGCGUAAAGCGCGCGUAGGCGGUUUUUUAAGUCUGAUGUGAAAGCCCACGGCUCAACCGUGGAGGGUCAUUGGAAACUGGAAAACUUGAGUGCAGAAGAGGAAAGUGGAAUUCCAUGUGUAGCGGUGAAAUGCGCAGAGAUAUGGAGGGACACCAGUGGCGAAGGCGACUUUCUGGUCUGUAACUGACGCUGAUGUGCGAAAGCGUGGGGAUCAAACAGGAUUAGAUACCCCGGUAGUCCCUGUCUCUUAUAC